GAUGAACGCUAGCGGCAGGCCUAAUACAUGCAAGUCGAACGAUACCAGGGAGCUUGCUCUCUGGGAAAGUGGCGCACGGGUGCGUAACGCGUAUGCAAUCUACCUUAACCUGGGGGAUAGCCCGGAGAAAUCCGGAUUAAUACCGCAUAACAUUAUUGGAUGGCAUCAUUUAAUAAUCAAACAUUUAUGGGAUUGAGAUGAGCAUGCGUGACAUAGUUAGUUGGUGAGGUAACGGCUCACCAAGACUACGAUGUCUAGGGGAUCUGAGAGGAU
rnacentral:rRNA from 1 species